GGCGGUCUCACGGGUUUGGAACGAAAUGAGGUUCAAACUCGAGAGGAAGAAAUUACUUAUGCUGAGCCAUGGUUCAACAAACGAAAAACAUACAAAUCAAAAGUUAAAGAGGAAGAUAAUGUAGUUUAUUCGUCAGUCGUCAUUUGAAGAUGAUCUUCAAUCUAUGUACAAGAUCCAGCUGUUUGAUCUUACAUCAGGACCUGAAUUUUGGUGCACUGAAUUUUAUUUAUUCCCACAAGUUCCAAGACUCUUGACAAAAAAAGACAAUGAUAACAGUAAAAAUGUCUCUAAUGGAUGGAAAAUGAGGCUGUGAGAGCUAGACUUUUACAAUCAACCGCAAUGUUUAAGGGUUUCAGCUCAAAACUUUCAGAACAGGUCUAUGGAGUUUGUAUUUUCUGAAUGUUUUUGUUUUCUUCUGAAAUACAUUUGUCAGGCUGAACAAUCAGUAUGUUGAAAAACAACAGUAAUCCAGUGUUAACUUCAGCUCCUCACAGCCUCGUUUUCAUUCCUGUCCAAAAUUCAACAUGGCGCUUGUUGUAGGCAACUUUACAAGGCCAAUGCCCCCACCCAGUCUCCAAGUUGCACUUUUUAAAGCAUUUAUUAAAAGAGUGGUACUAACACUAUUGUCUUCUAAUGACAAUGCUGCUAACAGCAGAAUUUGGAUUUGAUUUAGAAGUUUUCAUCAAUGAUAAUGUUAUUUUAUUGAAAAGGUAAACUCAUCUACUCAUUAGUCUGUACUAUGCUUGUUAAUUUAUUCAUUAAGUUUUGUAACUUGAUUAAAUAUUGCAAUUGUUUUGCUUGAACUAACAUGUAGCCAUGUCAAUUAAAAACUAACGUCCGUUAGGUCUGCUUUAUUGUUGUACUUUAGUAUUAAUUUAUAUUUGUUGGGAUAUGUUCAAUAUACAAUGAAUAUACAUUAUAAAAUGUAUAUUCAUGUAAGAUGAAGAUCUUUAUUAGAUGAACACCAUGUGUGCUGUCUACAGUUUGAAAGGUAUAACUUAGGCUACAUUCCA